rnacentral:rRNA from 1 species
AUUCCAGCUCCAAUAGCGUAUAUUAAAGUUGUUGCAGUUAAAAAGCUCGUAGUUGGAUUUCUGGCGUCGCCGCCCGGUCGGCCUCGAAAGGGGUUCGCACUCGUUGGCGCGCGUCGCCAUCCUCGGGGGAAGGCCGCCUGGCAUUAAGUUGUCGGGCGGUCGACGCUCGUCGUUUACUGUGAACAAAUUAGAGUGUUCAAAGCAGGCUUAGGCCGUUGAAUACAUUAGCAUGGAAUAAUAAGAUAGGACUUUGGUGGUUUAUUUUGUUGGUUUGCACGCCGAAGUAAUGAUUAAUAGGGACAGUCGGGGGCAUUUGUAUUCAAACGACAGAGGUGAAAUUCUUGGACCGUUUGAAGACAAACUACUGCGAAAGCAUUUGCCAAGAAUGUUUUCAUUG